UGACCGCUCUUUAACGGGAGCCAAGGCCAUACGGACAGCCGGGUCAACUGCCGA
rnacentral:sRNA from 12 species